GCCUGAGUGGUCCAGGGGUACGAUUCAUCGUUCGGGUUCUAUAACUGUCUCGAUGAGACCCGCGUUCGAAUCGCGGCUCAGGCC
rnacentral:tRNA from 1 species